rnacentral:snoRNA from 7 species
CCCACCACUGACCUGACCAGUAUGGUUGGCUGGUACAAUAUAGUAGUGAACUGACAGUGAGCCCCAGCUUUCAGGGAAUGGGGCUGUCCUACAUAUGAAUGUUGAAAGCAUGGGAACACCC